GAUGAACGCUGGCGGCGUGCCUAAUGCAUGCCAGUCGAGCGAACAGACGAGGAGCUUGCUCCUCUGACGUUAGCGGCGGACGGGUGAGUAACACGUGGAUAACCUACCUAUAAGACUGGGAUAACUUCGGGAGACCGGAGCUAAUACCGGAUAAUAUAUUGAACCGCAUGGUUCAAUAGUGAAAGACGGUUUUGCUGUCACUUAUAGAUGGAUCCGCGCCGCAUUAGCUAGUUGGUAAGGUAACGGCUUACCAAGGCAACGAUGCGUAGCCGACCUGAGAGGGUGAUCGGCCACACUGGAACUGAGACACGGUCCAGACUCCUACGGGAGGCAGCAGUAGGGAAUCUUCGGCAAUGGGCGAAAGCUUGACGGAGCAACGCCGCGUGAGUGAUGAAGGUCUUCGGAUCGUAAAACUCUGUUAUUAGGGAAGAACAAAUGUGUAAGUAACUAUGCACGUCUUGACGGUACCUAAUCAGAAAGCCACGGCUAACUACGUG
rnacentral:rRNA from 1 species